rnacentral:rRNA from 1 species
CCCUUAGAUGUUCUGGGCCGCACACGCGCUACACUGAAGGGAUCAUCGUGUUUAUCCUAGGCUGAAAAGUCCGGGAAACCCGCUGAAUUCUCUUCGUGCUAGGGAUUGAGGCUUGCAAUUAUUUCUCAUGAACGAGGAAUUCCCAGUAAGCGUGAGUCAUCGGCUCGCGCUGAUUACGUCCCUGCUCUUUGUACACACCGCCCGUCGCUACUACCGAUUGAAUGAUUUAGUGAGGCUUUCGGACUGGAUAUUAAUGGGGCUUCGGUCCUAUUUUUAUUCGGAAAGAUAUUCGAACUGUAUCAUUUAGAGGAAGUAAAAGUCGUAACA